rnacentral:lncRNA from 1 species
UAUAUAUAUAUAUAUAGGAAAGGGAUCAAAAAAGAAAGCUAAAUGUAGGGAGAAUAAGGAAUCAAAUCCAGCCCUUCAUAAAUUUUAAUCAUACGGCUGAUUUUAAUUCCUACGGCUGAUUAUAUAUUCAAGCUAUAAAUCACUAAAAGGUUAGUUUUGUCAUUAUCUCAUUAACCCUACCGUAAAUAUCUAGCAAUAAUAUGGCAAAUCGUUUCUUUCCUUAAACUUAUCAAAACCUAAUACUUUCUGGUAUAGCUGUAGCGUUUUUUGUUGCAGAAAGAUGUCUAUCAUCGUCGCCUCCAUCAUCUGAAGUCUCCAUCAUUCCGGCGAACUAUAAAAGGGGUGUUCGGGUCGUGUAGUUUCCAUCAUUCCGGCGAACUUAGCAAAACCUAAUACUGUCCGCCUCCAUCAUCCAUCUGAAGUCUUCAUCUGACGUACCUGCGAAUGGAGUUUGGGUCGUGUAGUACAGGUUUGAGUCCGCCAUUUUUACUUUCGUUUGAACAUUUCGAAUGGAGAUAUCAUGUUUUAUAGCAUUAUAAUUUACAUUUUAUGUUGGAGAACAUUUAUAUAUAUGAGAUUUACAGUUAUACUAUUAGACAUGCAUGGUCAGAUUUCGAGUUUAAUUAAAGUGUAUGUUUUUUCAGUUUGUGGUUAGUUUUGUCAACGUUUAUUUAUAUUGUUUUAGGUGAAUCAACGACAAUUGAUGUAGAAGGUUGUGCCGAUCUUUUCAUCCCUGACUGUGAUGCUACGGAAUAACCAUUUGAGGGGCAGGUGUUCUGUAAUCUUCAACAAGCUGAGAAGUUCUAUGAGGAUUACGCAAAAGUUUGUGGUUUUAUUCCCCGUAAAGCAACCAUUAACAGAGAUGACGAUGGCUCCAUAAGUACUCGAUUUAUGCUUUGUAACAGAGAAGGUGUUCCCAACAAUGCAAAUUCGUUAAUUUUUGUCGAGGGUAACAGAGAUGAUAGGAAACGUAAGAGAACAUCAUUCAAGGUUGGUUGCAAGGCUCGUAUCAUAUUUAAGGCCAUAUCUUAUGGUCGUUUUAGGGUUGGAACCUUUAGUGAGGGAUAACCAUAAGAUGGUUUCUGAAACCAGUCGUCAUUUUAUGUCGAGCAAUAGGCAAGUUGAUGAAGUGCACCAGUUUCUUUUUCAAGCGGGUAUUAGAGCCAACAUUGGACCAACUAAAACAUUUCGCAUUUUUAAAGAGAUUGUUGGUGGUUAUGACAAGGUUGGUUGUACUAGUAUUGAUUUCAAGAACUAUGGUCGAGACUUGAAGGUCUAUGUCGCUGGUUCGGAUGCCCAUAUGUUGCUUGAAACAUUUAAGGAUAGGAAGGAGCUUUGUGAUCGUUUUCAAUAUUUUUACGACAUUGACGAGGAAAAUCAGCUGCGCCGCCUUUUCUGGACAGAUAAACAAGUUGUGAUUAACUUUAAAAAUUUUGGACAGGCUGUGUCUUUUGAUGCAACAUACAACACCAACAGGUUUAAGUUUUUUAUAUUAUUAUUCGGAUAUGUUUUUAUGGUAUUCAGUUCGUGUAUAUGCUUAUUCGUUAUGUCAUAACAUUUUUUUAAGUUUUAUGAUGGAUACAUUAGUUAUUUUAAAGUCAAUUAGCUAUAUCAUUUGUUCAUUUUUUCGGAACAUCAAUUAGUUAUUUUUAUUUGUUCUCAUUCAGUUCGGUUUGCAUAGUUGUUCAUAUAUAAAUCUACUUUAUUCAGUAUGAUAUUGUAGUCUGUUUGGCAAGUCUGAUGUUGGAUUUUAUGAUUCUUGUAGUUACAAAAUGAUUUUUACUCCAUUUACUGGUAGGGACAACCACGGCAAA